rnacentral:rRNA from 1 species
AUUUCUUUGGGGAAUUUAUAAGUUGUUUCUUGUUUUUAUUUUUUAUGGGCGGGGUUAAAGACAAAAAAUUGUAUUUAUUUGAAUGAGUAAAAUAGUGAAUAUUUGGUUUAUGCUAUAGUUUAGUUUGUACUGUAAAGGGUUGUUAUUUCUUUAGUUAAAAGAAGAGUUUUAUUUUUGUACCUUUUGUAUCAGGGAUAACCAAAAUAUUUAGUUUAUUAGUUUAGGUCUCGAAAUUGAACGAGCGAAUAGGCUAUAAUUGUUUAUGUGAAACAAUGAAGUUAUAAAUAGUCUAUUAGUGGUGAUAUGCUAGCCGAGUUUAAUAUAUCUAGUUUUUUCUGAAGUAAAUUCAAUUUAUUUCUUUAUUUAAAGAAUAUAAAGAUUAAAUUUUAAGGGGGAUAAGCUUCUUAAGAUUUGUAUGUAAAGUAAGAUAAUAAAAAUGUCUUUUAUUUAGGCUUAAGAUCAGCCAAGAGUUUAAAUCGUUUUAGAUAAUUGAGAGUUUAAAAUUUAUUUAAAAAUUGCUUACAUUGUUUAAGAAAAAUCGAGUUUUAGCUUAAUUUACGGGGAUAAAAUGGUUAUAUUAGUAUGUUGGUUGUGUGUAGAGGUAAGUUUAAUUUAGAAAUAAGUUAUAUAUUAGCGCAAGAAGAUAGAGCUAAAGAACUCGGCAAAUUUUUACCCUUGCCUGUUUAUCAAAAACAUGUCUAUACAGAGGCUAUGGAUGUAUAGUCUGGCCUGCUCUCUGAGGAUUUAAAGGGCCGCGGUAUUUGGACCGUGCUAAGGUAGCAUAAUAAAUAGUCUUUUAAUUGGAGUCUAGUAUGAAUGGUCGGACAUGGGGUAGGCUGUUUUAGCUGUAAAGUUUGAAUUUUACUUUUAAGUGAAAAGGCUUAAAUUGGGUGGAGGGACGAUAAGACCCUAUAAAGCUUUAUACUUUACAUAUUUAGUUUGGCAGCUAAGGUUUGUUAUUUUUAUGGGUAAAGUAUUUCGUUGGGGCGAUGGAAAUAUAAAUUGAUAACUGUUUUUAAUUUAAAAAUAAAUUUUUUUAGGAGAGUUGAUCCUCUAUGAAGAUUAUAAGAAUCAAGUUACUUUAGGGAUAACAGCGUGAUUUUUCUUGAGAGUUCAUAUCGACAGAUAGAGUUGCGACCUCGAUGUUGAAUUAAAAUAUCUCCAAGGUGUAGCAGUUUUGGUGGUGGGUCUGUUCGACCCUUAAAAUUUU